rnacentral:rRNA from 1 species
GACGAACGCUGGCGGCGUGCUUAACACAUGCAAGUCGAACGGAGUGGCGAACGGGCGAGUCACACGAGGGUGACCUGCCCUGCACUUCGGGAUAAGCCAGGGAAACUGGGUCUAAUACCGGAGAGUGUGGGAUGGGCCCGGGGCCUAUCAGCUUGUUGGUGGGGUAAUGGCCUCCCAAGGCGGCGACGGGUAGCCGGCCUGAGAGGGUGGACGGCCACAUUGGGACUGAGACACGGCCCAGACUCCUACGGGAGGCAGCAGUGGGGAAUAUUGCACAAUGGGCGGAAGCCUGAUGCAGCGACGCCGCGUGGGGGAUGAAGGCCUUCGGGUUGUAAACUCCUUUCACCAUCGACGCGGUAGAUGGAGAAGAAGCACCGGCUAACUUCGUGCCAGCAGCCGCGGUAAUUC